UCGACGAUAAGCAAGAACAAAAGGGGGGAAACCCUAGCUUUCAAGGAUUCUCAAGAUUUGGAAGAAAUUGAGAGCCCAAAUCGAUGCAAGAACCCGAAUUGUCAACCAUCUAAGCUCAAACAACAAUAGGCGUGAAGGAGGAAGGCUCUAACACUAGUAAAGCGGGAGGUGUACAAGAUCGAGGUAAAGCACCUCUAUAGGCGAUUUGGAAAUGGGACGAGCACAUGUUCAAGCCUUAUAAUACCAAGCGCUUCCGCAACUUAUAUGC